AGAAGCAAUGCACAGCAAGCACCAAAACUGACUGUGGUGACUGCCCUGUAGGCUUCUACUCUGAGACCAAUGACCGCUUUGAGGACUGUCAACCAUGCCUCAAAUGCCAACAAGUCUACACAAGAGUGUGCACCUCAACCGCAAAUGCAAACUGUUCGUGUGGCUCUGGUUUCCUGUGCUCAGACUACGUCUGCUCAAAAUGUGAAAAGGAAAAUAAAUGCCGCAAGGGGGAGGAACUAAAAAGGACAGGUUCCAGGGAGUACACUUGGAAAUGUGUCCCAUGUCCUAAUAACACAUACUCUGACACUGAACAUGGUCACUGCAAACUGUUGACACAGUGUGGUGCACAUGGACUUGAUGUGAUCUUCCCUGGGAACAAGACCCAUAACUCAAAAUGUGGCAUACAUG